rnacentral:sRNA from 1 species
AAAAAAGAAAAUUUUGUAGAUAGUGGUAAAGAGGGAGAAACAACCAUGAUUGUCCUCUUACCCUGUGACAUUUUAGUGAAUAGUCUUUCAGACAUCUUUCUAUGCAAAUUGUUCAACCAUGUAUUUAUAUGUAUAAAAGCUAUUAUGUGCUUUUAUGACUCUAGUAGUUGUAAAUCUGAUUCAUGGUGUUUCUAAUACAUGGUAUUAGAAACUGCACAGAAGCAUGUGGCAAGCCCUGGACUUGAACAUGACACUCAGCCUUUGGUGGGCUGGUGACUGCCAUCUGGCAGUCCAGAGGGCUCAUUUGGAGAAUAACUCUACAAAUUCCCCAGGAAAGCAUUCCCUCAAGUCGUUUCAGGACAUGGGACCUCAGGAGUUUGGCUAAGGUUCAAAAGCACUAAACAAUUUGUUCUGAUCCACAGCUACCAAGUGGCCCAUCCAACAGGACUUCUCAGGUGAAAGUUGUGGAGGUCAAGCCCGAUAUGUUUCCUCCAUAUAAGUACAGCUGCACUGUCACAUUGGAUUUGGGCCUGGCUACAUCAAGAGGCCGGGGAAAGUGCAAGAAUCCCUCUUGUAGCUAUGUCUACACCAACAGGCACAAACCUCGCAUUUGUCCCAGCUGUGGUGUUAACCUUGCCAAAGACCGGACUGAGAAAACCACCAAGGCUAUUGUCUCUUUAAUGUGGGGAACAAGCUGCUGGUAAGCCUGGACUUGCUUUUUGCAAUCAGAAACCAGAUCAAGCUUGG